rnacentral:rRNA from 1 species
GACGAACGCUGGCGGCGUGCUUAACACAUGCAAGUCGAGCGGUAAGGCCCUUCGGGGUACACGAGCGGCGAACGGGUGAGUAACACGUGGGUGACCUGCCUCUAGCUCUGGGAUAAGCCUGGGAAACUGGGUCUAAUACCGGAUAUGACUCCACGGCGCAUGUUGUGGGGUGGAAAGCCUUGUGUGGCUAGAGAUGGGCCCGCGGCCUAUCAGCUUGUUGGUGGGGUGANGGCCUACCAAGGCGACGACGGGUAGCCGGCCUGAGAGGGCGACCGGCCACACUGGGACUGAGACACGGCCCAGACUCCUACGGGAGGCAGCAGUGGGGAAUCUUGCGCAA